CGAGCCGCGGCGGGAGAGUCUUCGCCAGCCGGAUCCGGUGAAGCACCGAAGGAGCAAGCCUCCCCGCAAUCUCUCAGGUACAGCUACCGCCACGGCCAG
rnacentral:ncRNA from 2 species